UAAUAUUUUCCAGCGUCAUUAUCUUUUAUUCUAACUCGAUUUUAUGAGUUUACAUGGUCCAAAUAUUACCUGAACAACAGAAAGAAGAACAAAUACAACAGAGUCAGCUCUUUCCAAAAUCAACAGUAAAACAACUAAACGGGUAGCAACAACAGCAAAAGACAGCGACAACCAGCAGAUUCAAACCCAAGAAAACAAAAAAAAGCUCACAAUUUUCAGCUGCUAAGGGAUAUUAUAGCUACUGAUUUUUUCUCUUUUUGUGUGUAGAGAGCUCUAAGUCAGAUGGAGUGUCCUCCUUCUUCUUUUUUACAUGUGAGAAACAACCAGCUAUUUCAAGAUUAAAAAUCAAUCUUUUUGAUAGAUAUUUCCACAAAAUCUGCUCUUAAAUUCAAAAGCAAGACUUUUUUAGUUCAAAUCUUGUCAAAUAUUUCAAACAAAAUCUAUUCUUCACUAUUCAAAGAUAGACUUUCGUUCAAAAACUGUCCAAAAGUCUAUAUUUUCUUACCAGGCAAUUUGACUUUUGAGUGUUGUACUCAAAGAGUCUUGAAGUAGUAAAUAAACAAACAAACAAAUACCUUAUACUCUCAAGUAUUCUUCAUUACCUCACUUUUAUUAAUACAAAACUAUUUUACUACUUCAACAAGUGCAAAAACAGAAAAUUUAACAUUUCAAACUUCAAAAACUAAUGCUAAAAUAAUUAAUAAUAGAAAAAAAUAAAAUCUAAAAAAUAAAAAUAAAAUAAAAAAUCAGCCAUGAAAAAGAAUAGGAUUUUUACCAUUCUACAAUUCAAGUGGCCGAAAAAAUGGUGAUAUGCCAAAAGAGAGUGUUCAAGGAGGUCGCCGGAAUUUGGCCGGAUUUUGGGGUACAAUUGACAUCAAUAGGUAGGUCUUGAGGAGCUCUAUCCAUUGAUGUAGAUAUUGUGGGGUGGUAGUGGCCGGAACUUCAAGAAUUUGGGCAAAAAAUUGACGAGGAAGUUUCCUAGAUCUAAGAUUCAAGGAGUUUGAGGGUUUUUUGAAAGAUUUGGUUUGGAGAUGUGGAAAGAGGAGGUGUUGGAGAUUACAUGGUGAAAUUUUGAGAUGGUUUGGAGGUGGUCCGCCGCCGGUGGGCGAUUUCCGGCAGUGGUGGAGGGGCGGCAGUUAUGGAGAAAGAGAGAGUAGAGAGAGGGAGGAGAAAAGAAUUAUGGGAG
rnacentral:lncRNA from 1 species